ensembl:snRNA LOC120099403 U6 spliceosomal RNA
GUGCUUGCUUUGGUAGCACACAUACUAAAAUUGGAAUGAUACAUAGAUUAGCAUGGCCGCUGUGCAAGGUUGACACACAAGUUCGUGAAGUGUUCCAUAUUUUU